rnacentral:lncRNA from 1 species
GGCUGGAGAAAUCAGGCGGGCUUCCUGGAGGAGGCAGGCCUUGAUGGGGGUUCCUGUGGCCAGCCACAGGAAGAGGGCAGGAAGAACAGCAAACACCCCCCCAGGUGGGCAUGCCCUGUGCUUUGGGACCAGGCUGGGGGCAGAGAAAGGCUCCCAGGGUGCUCCCAGGGCAGGCAGUGAGCUGCCCGCCAUGGGGCCCAACCUUGGAUGCGGGUCAGGUCACCUGGGAAGCUUCCCCGACCCAGACGCUCCGGCUCUCAGCGUGGGACGCCGGCCCCAGCGGUUCUGAAAGCUAUGCCCAGCACUCACGACCUGGACCAUGUCUCGCUCCAGGCUUGCAAGAUCCUGUCACUUGAAGUGGUUGGGUGGGAUAAGGUGAUGCCCACCGGACACCUGAGCACGGGGCUGGCCUGUCCACGCUGGGCCGUCUCCCCCAGCCCCCGGCCAGUCCUCGUUUCCAGGGGCUGCUGCUGUCUCGCGCGUCCCUCCCCCCAGGGCUGCAGGCCGAGCUGUGUGAGCUCUCUGUGGUUUCCCGCUGCGCCUGGAACCUGCAGAGGCCAGGACGCCGGGCAGGAGGGGGCUGUCCUGCAGAAGUGCUGGCUGCCGCUGCUGGCCAGGGCGCCAGGGCCGGAUUCCUGUCUGCAGCUUGUGGCUUGGAGCCGCGCGCGUGUGUGUGCGUGUGUGUGUUUAUGCACAUGCACAUGGGGGCCUGCGUGCAAGCCCUGUGCACGUGUGGGCAGCGCAGGUGUGGCCUCGCGUGGGCGCUCGGUGUGCAGCGUGCUGCUGUGUGCACGUGCAUCAUCCCUGGGUCACCCAGAAGCCAGGCCCACGCACGCACGCACCACUGCUGGCUCUGCCGAGCGGAUGAGCGAGCGAAUGGGUGAACGAACAAAGGGGGGCACCAGUGCGCAGGGGCAGGAACGUGAAUCGUUUCCGGUCGUCGCUGGAGAGGGCCAGCAGCCGUCGUGGUGCUGUCAGCACACGACUGUUCCCGGGCUUUCAGGAAAAUCUGAUUCUCUCUUAACCUCCUCGUGGGAGGCGAGCGGGCUCCACGUGCUCCCCCGUGCUCCACGUGCUCCCCCGUGCUCCCCCGUGCUCCACAUGCUCCCCCGUGCUCC